AAAUUCUUAUGCAGCUUUACUUUCGACUCGUAAGAACUUUACUUUAUAAAAUCUAACGUCCAGUAUAUUUUAAUAGAUUAUAAGAAGUUGUUUUGAAAUUAUUUUCCUGGUAAAUAUCAUAACACGUUCUACUGUCACGUGAUAAAAUAUAGGCCUAUAUAAGCACAUAAAUUUACCAAACGAAAUGAAAACAUCAAUGAACAUGACGUUUAUGCUAGUGUUAUUCAUAUUUACUAUUGCUUUUCCUUCAAUUAAAUCUUUCCAACUGUUUCAACAAAGUUCAAGUGUUGGAUCUGUGAAUCCAUAUGAACAUAUCGUACGAGCUGUGGAGCGUAUUUGUGCACUGAGUUUUGACGGAAGAAGAAAGUAUUGGACAUGCGUAAUUGAAAACGGAUACGAAGUUGUAAGCUUUUAAAUAUUCGCAAAAGUUUUAUUUUAAAAUUUAUUUUCUAUACAAUCAUUUAUUAAUAUUUGAUAUUUAGAAUUUCGAAUUCUCUAAUAACUGUGCUCAACAAAUACGAUUUUUCGAUACGGAUGUAGAGAUCAGUGAUUUCAUUUGUAAUUAUCUGCGGUCAUGUCCACAAGAAUAUAACCAAUUUAUCAACUGUGUUGGUUCAGCUCAAUAUGCUUACAGUACUAACAAACCAUAUUUUUAUCGGACUCUCGAUUCGUGCGCGGCAAAUGCAGACAGAUGUUAAGAAAAAUCACUUCCUUCAAUUCAUCUUUAUUAACAAUUUAAUUAAAAAUUACAUUAAGCUGAUUUUAAUAGUUCUUAUUUUAUUCAUAAUUGGUAUAU